GACAGAGGGUGCAAACGUUGUUCGGAAUCACUGGGCGUAAAGCGCGUGUAGGCGGUCGGGAAAGUCGGAUGUGAAAUCCCACGGCUCAACCAUGGAAGUGCAUUCGAAACUGCCCGACUAGAGUCCUGGAGAGGAAGGUGGAAUACUCGGUGUAGAGGUGAAAUUCGUAGAUAUCGAGUGGAACACCGGUGGCGAAGGCGGCCUUCUGGACAGUGACUGACGCUGAAACGCGAAAGCGUGGGGAGCAAACAGG
rnacentral:rRNA from 1 species